rnacentral:rRNA from 1 species
CAGUAGCCGCGGUAAUACGAAGGGUGCAAGCGUUAAUCGGAAUCACUGGGCGUAAAGCGUGCGUAGGCGGUUUGUUAAGUCUGCUGUGAAAUCCCCGGGCUCAACCUGGGAAUGGCAGUGGAUACUGGCAAGCUAGAGUGUGUCAGAGGAUGGUGGAAUUCCCGGUGUAGCGGUGAAAUGCGUAGAGAUCGGGAGGAACAUCAGUGGCGAAGGCGGCCAUCUGGGACAACACUGACGCUGAGGCACGAAAGCGUGGGGAGCAAACAGGAUUAGAUACCCCCGUAGUCCCUGUCUCUUAUAC